rnacentral:rRNA from 1 species
GAUGAACGCUGGCGGCGUGCUUAACACAUGCAAGUCGAACGAGAAUUUUUCGAGUGAUUUCUUCGGAAUGUUCAGGAAAACGGAAAGUAGCGAACGGGUGAGUAACACGUGAAAAACCUGCCUUUCACAAAGGGAUGGCCUCGGGAAACCGGGAUUAAUACCUUAUGAAACCAAACACUCGCAUGAGAGAUUGGUUAAAGAUUUAUCGGUGUUAGAUGGUCUCGCGUCUGAUUAGCUAGUUGGUGGGAUAAAAGCCUACCAAGGCAACGAUCAGUAGCCGGAUUGAGAGGUUGAACGGCCACACUGGAACUGAGACACGGUCCAGACUCCUACGGGAGGCAGCAGUGGGGAAUUUUGCACAAUGGAGGAAACUCUGAUGCAGCGACGCCGGGUGAGUGAUGAAGGUCUUCGAAUUGUAAAACUCUGUCAUCAGUGAAGAUAAUGACAGUAACUAAGAAGCAAGCCCUGGCUAAAUACGUG